rnacentral:rRNA from 1 species
AUUGAACGCUGGCGGCAUGCCUUACACAUGCAAGUCGAACGGUAACGCGGGGCAACCUGGCGACGAGUGGCGAACGGGUGAGUAAUACAUCGGAACGUGCCCAGUAGUGGGGGAUAGCCCGGCGAAAGCCGGAUUAAUACCGCAUACGACCUACGGGUGAAAGCGGGGGAUCGCAAGACCUCGCGCUAUUGGAGCGGCCGAUGUCAGAUUAGCUAGUUGGUGGGGUAAAGGCCUACCAAGGCAACGAUCUGUAGUUGGUCUGAGAGGACGACCAGCCACACUGGGACUGAGACACGGCCCAGACUCCUACGGGAGGCAGCAGUGGGGAAUUUUGGACAAUGGGCGCAAGCCUGAUCCAGCAAUGCCGCGUGCAGGAAGAAGGCCUUCGGGUUGUAAACUGCUUUUGUCAGGGAAGAAAUCUUCUGGGUUAAUACCUCGGGAGGAUGACGGUACCUGAAGAAUAAGCACCGGCUAACUACGUGCCAGCCGCCGCCGUAACAC